CUCUCGGUAGCCAAGUUGGUUUAAGGCGCCAGACUGUAAAUCUGGAGAUCGGGCGUUCGACUCGCCCCCGAGAGA
rnacentral:tRNA from 1 species